GACGAACGCUGGCGGCGCUUCUAACACAUGCAAGUCGAACGAGCGAGAGAGAGCUUGCUUUCUCAAGCGAGUGGCGAACGGGUGAGUAACGCGUGAGGAACCUGCCUCAAAGAGGGGGACAACAGUUGGAAACGACUGCUAAUACCGCAUAAGCCCACAGCUCGGCAUCGAGCAGAGGGAAAAGGAGCAAUCCGCUUUGAGAUGGCCUCGCGUCCGAUUAGCUGGUUGGUGAGGUAACGGCCCACCAAGGCAACGAUCGGUAGCCGGACCGAGAGGUUGAACGGCCACAUUGGGACUGAGACACGGCCCAGACUCCUACGGGAGGCAGCAGUGGGGAAUAUUGCACAAUGGGGGAAACCCUGAUGCAGCGACGCCGCGUGGAGGAAGAAGGUCUUCGGAUUGUAAACUCCUGUUGUUGAGGAAGAUAAUGACGGUACUCAACAAGGAAGUGACGGCUAACUACGUGCCAGCAGCCGCGGUAAAACGUAGGUCACAAGCGUUGUCCGGAAUUACUGGGUGUAAAGGGAGCGCAGGCGGGAAGACAAGUUGGAAGUGAAAUCUAUGGGCUCAACCCAUAAACUGCUUUCAAAACUGUUUUUCUUGAGUAGUGCAGAGGUAGGCGGAAUUCCCGGUGUAGCGGUGGAAUGCGUAGAUAUCGGGAGGAACACCAGUGGCGAAGGCGGCCUACUGGGCACCAACUGACGCUGAGGCUCGAAAGUGUGNGUAGCAAACAGG
rnacentral:rRNA from 1 species